UGGGGAAUAUUGCACAAUGGGCGCAAGCCUGAUGCAGCCAUGCCGCGUGUGUGAAGAAGGCCUUCGGGUUGUAAAGCACUUUCAGCGAGGAGGAAGGGUAGUGUGUUAAUAGCACAUUGCAUUGACGUUACUCGCAGAAGAAGCACCGGCUAACUCCGUGCCAGCAGCCGCGGUAAUACGGAGGGUGCAAGCGUUAAUCGGAAUUACUGGGCGUAAAGCGCACGCAGGCGGUUUGUUAAGUCAGAUGUGAAAUCCCCGCGCUUAACGUGGGAACUGCAUUUGAAACUGGCAAGCUAGAGUCUUGUAGAGGGGGGUAGAAUUCCAGGUGUAGCGGUGAAAUGCGUAGAGAUCUGGAGGAAUACCGGUGGCGAAGGCGGCCCCCUGGACAAAGACUGACGCUCAGGUGCGAAAGCGUGGGGAGCAAAACAGGAUUAGAUACCCUGGUAGUCCACGCUGUAAACGAUGUCGACUUGGAGGUUGUGCCCUUGAGGCGUGGCUUCCGGAGCUAACGCGUUAAGUCGACCGCCUGGGGGAGUACGGCCGCAAGGUUAAAACUCUAAAGUGAAUUGACGGGGUC
rnacentral:rRNA from 1 species